rnacentral:rRNA from 1 species
CAUGAAGCCGGAAUCGCUAGUAAUCGCGGAUCAGAAUGCCGCGGUGAAUACGUUCCCGGGUCUUGUACACACCGCCCGUCACACCAUGGGAGUUGGAAAUGCCCGAAGUCAGUGGCCCAACCGGAAGGGGGGAGCUGCCGAAGGCAGGUUCGAUGACUGGGGUGAAGUCGUAACAAGGUAAC